GUGGAUUAGGAUGUGACCUCUGGGAAGGGGGAGCUGACUGUCUGCAAGUAUGCCAGUUACCCAACUAACUGGGUGGAGACUUAAACCCAUGCAGGGCAUCUGCCUGGAUCCCUCCCAGGGGGAGGACAUUACAUUACUCAAUGGAGCACUUGGGGUCCAUUGAAUAAGGUCAGAGUUGCUGUUCAAUAUAUUGUUCCUGAGGACCCAGAGCAAGAUUUUUUUUACUACCUAAAAUAAGGUCAAAGAAUACAAUACUUGCCUUUUAGGAGUUAUAAGGUUUCAAUGUCAUAUUAUAAGUACUCUUUUUUGAUCCAUGCCAUUUCCUUGGGCACUGAGAGUAUAUGCAGUCCCCUAGUCUACACGUAAAAUUGCUACCAAGGGCAGUUUUUUCAUCUGUCUUGGGCAGAGUCAACAGGGAGAGGUGUGAGACUGUGAUCAGAGCUUAGGGAUAGGGUAGUCCAGAGCCAGUGUCUAGAGGAGAUUGUGGUCUGGCUCAUAUGGGCAGACUACUUCAGCCACAGUAGGGCUUUAUCUUGUUUCCACAACACUGGGAAGAUGGAAUUGAGUGUUGCCAUGAGUCAGCUGUGGCAAACUUUACAAAGUUUACAAACUUUACAAAGCUGCUAUACAGUCUUUUCUUCUCUUGGGGGAAACAAUGGUCAGAGUUCAGAACACAAACAAUUGUGUGGCUUGUGUGGAUAGCAGGUGGAGCUGGAAGGGAACAUUAGAUAUUUGGUAGAAUGAGAAGAUAAUUAAAAAUAAAAAUUGAAAAUGAAGGAGAGUAAUGUUGAAAUACAUUGUUUCUCAGAAGAUGACAUAAGGAUUCUCACUGAAAGCAAUUGAAUAAAAGUGGUUAGGGGUCACUAAAUGAAUGUCAAAAAAGUAAAGUAGAUUCUGUUGAAAGUGGUAUUAGUGAAAAGGGGGAAGGAAUGAGGGUGAAUAUGGUGAAAGUAUUUUAUAUGUAUAUGUCUGAAAGGAGAACAAUGAGGAAGUAACAUUGUGGCUCAAGUGGUAUAGCAUUAGCCUUGAGUACAAAGAGGCUCAAGGAUAGCUCCCAGGCCCUGAGUUCAGGACCCAUGACCAAAAACAAAACA